rnacentral:lncRNA from 1 species
UUGUCCCUUGAUCUUUUAAGAAAAUUUCAAAGCAUAUCAAUGAUCAAAUCACUAUUUACAACUUGAUAUAUAUCGAAUCCAAAGGGACCAAAUUAAUUUUCCACAUUAUUCUUUUCGUAAACCACUAUAUACAUAUAUGUUGAUUCAUCAUAUGCGUAAAGCUCUAUAGAUAUACAAAUAUAGUUUUCGUAGUAGCAUAGAGUAGUCUGUUUUCCACACCUUUUCACCCUUAAGCCAAGCCAAUGCCUAAGCCUAUCUUUCUUACAAUCAAUCUAAAAGCAUUGCACAAUAUAUGGCGAUCUACUAGUGCAGAAUGACAGCGCCCUUUUUGGGUCUGAAAACACCUGCAACACCCUCAUAUUUUGUCUGAUAUUUCAUAUUAAAAUAAGGAUUUUGAUAUCUAGACUGCAGGGCCAUUGUCUUUUAGUGAUGCUUUAAUUUCAUUGCCAUAUACGGAAGAAAGAAAUCAAUGGCAGGGUGAUAGUUAUUAUGCAUAUAAAGCUGGAGCGGCAGAUAAAAAUACAAAAAUAAACAUUAGCCUCUGCUGCAGCAAAUAUAAUACUUCACUGUAGCAGUAGUAUUUAUUGACUUAGUUAAAUGGAUAUAUUAAUAUAUUAUUACUCUUGUUAGGGUCAACUUUGCAGGAGUUAGUUGUUGGGAAAAAGACAAAUUUCUUCAUCACUAUCCAAAAUUUGGACCAUUUCUUUAGAAGCAUUAAAUUUGGGUGUCCUUCAUUUUCUGCUACAUAUUUUUCCACAUAACAGGUUCUAGUUUGAAUGUUUUUUGUUAUGAAUGUCUUUGGUUUUGAAUCUGAAAAAGGGAACAUUUGCAAAGUCUAGAAUUUAUUCAGAUUCAAUUUAGCAGUAUUGAGAAUAAGUGGAUGAAUUUUGAUUUAAAAUAUUUAUAUUUUAGAUUUAAAAUAUUUACUACAUAUGAAAGUAAAUAUUAACUAUCACCUCAAAGUUACACAUCGCAUUUAAUUAUUAUCCGCUUGGGGUUAAAGUUACACAAUCCACUUUUCUUGUCUUUUUAGCAUAUCUCUUUAAUCACUCCAACCUCAACUUCAUGUAAGUUUGGAAAAUAAAUAUAAAUACUACUUGGAAUUAUAGAUGAAGAACAAGAGAAUGAACUUCCUAACUUCCCAUCAUUCCUUCCAUUCUUGCCUCCUUUGGUAAGUUUCUUAGAAUUACUUAGCUACGAAUCAUCUCAAUUUUUUUGCAUUUAUAACAAGUCACGUUGAUUUUGUCAUUUGUUCUGAUGAGCAUGGAUAAUUAUUUACUUCUCUUCGAAAAGGUUUGGCAAAAUGGUAGCUGAUACAUAUAUUAUUUGCAGACUUCAGCAAACCUCAAACAAUAUUAUGCAACCUGUUUUUCUCUUAUUGCAGGGAGCAACUGGACCAAUUCAAAAAAAUUGUUAAAUAUGUUUUUCUUAAACAAAAUACUAGGUUCUAGAAUUCAUGGGCUUCUCUUCAUAAAAUAAGUGUGUGCGAAGUGAAGUGUUGCAAGUUUUGUUUUGUCUUUUGGUUUCUAAUGCUACUUAUUGAUUCGAGAAUCUUUCGUGUUUCUGGAUUUGAUGUGUCUGCUGUUACUGUGAGUUAUAAAUGAUAGCAUACAAUAGAAAAGAAGUUACCGUGAAAAGAAAGUGGAGUUAUCAAGGGAAGGCAAAUAAAGGUCAAGAAAUGAGAGUGAAACAUGAUUUAAGCUACAUAACAGGUGAAAAAAUGUGGAAUGAACUCAGAUAAGUGAAGAAUUUAUGAUUGUUGUUUAGGCAUAUUAUACUACAUCUUCAGAACCGUCAAUAUGUAGGUCAAUUUUGGAAUAAUGAAUUCAUGAAAUACUAUUUUCCCCCUUCCCCUUUUAAUUUGGUACGUGAAGAGGGUAGGAAAGUGAGGAAGAGACUGAUAUCUUUUGGAAGUUAGAUGUUAAAAGAGAAGGUGAGUGACUCGUUGCGCCAGCAAAUGUUACUGGGUAUUUGUUGGGAUGUUUUUAAAGUUAAAAUGAUACUGACAUGUGUGUAAUAUUGGAAGUGGAAAGGUUAUCAUGAUGGCAAAAUGCUACUUUUUUGGAUUGAGAUAUCUUAUGGAUGAUUCUCUUCAUGAAGAACUAAAAUUUUCAAAUUAAGAUGUACCCUUUAUUUGAAACAUACAAAUUUGAAAAAUGAUAUUUAACAACUAAAAAGUGUUGGGAAUUUUUGAAUGGUAUCCUCGCAUUGAAUUUGGUAACCAAAUCCAGUACAAGCGACUGCCCAUGUAUUUAUAGAUUAAAAGCAAUAUUAGAUUCUAAGUGUGGAUUAGAUUAAAAUUAGAUUUAUAUAAUUUCUCCUGAAAUAUGGUGUACCCUCUUAGGUCUAAGUGUGGAUUAUAUAAAAUUAGAUUUAUCCUGGGGGUAUUUGGCUUGUUCUCUUUACAUUGUUAUUGUUGCUUGUUAUUUAUUCUUGGACAACUCCUGUGUGAAAAUCUGUAACUCUAGUUUGAAAGCAAUUGAUGGCAAACAUGGCUUUCAAAUCAAAUAAAAAAACAUUGCAUUAUAACUUUCUCGUUUUGUGAAAGCAACUACUGAAAUAACUGCCCUUGAAUGUUUCAAACCUAAGCAUUNUUUCACUGUUUCCAUCCUUUUUCCCUUGUAUGUAGGAAAAAAAUUCAAGCAUAUGAAUCUACAACACCGUUUCAAUCAAAAGAAAUAUCAAGUUCAGAUUUAUUGGCUCAUGUUUUAGGAAGCCAAGAGCAUAGUGGACGUGUUCACGAUCUAGGUUUGGGUCCUUAUCCAUCUAAAGUCUUUGGAGUUUAUGCUCGUUCUCAUAGUGGAUCAUCUUCAUCUANUCCUUCUAAUGCUGAAUUACAAUCUCAGGUUAAUGAAUAUUAAUAAAUGUUUACUUGGUUUGUUCCUUUUAAGAUUAACAUGUUAGAUAUUAUAUUUCUCACUUUUUAAAUAAAUUUUUCUGUUAUAGGUAUCUUCACUGACUUCUUCUAAUGUUCAAUUACAAUCUCAGGUUAAUGAAUAUUUAAUAAAGGUUUAAACCAUUUAGUUGUCCCUAUUUUUGGGAGGUUUUCCCAUUUUGAUCCCUGUCUUAUUCGAAUCCCCACUUAAGUCCCUAUAAGUGCUAUUUUCAAUCAAUUAAGUCCCUGCCGUAAAAUUUAGUUAACGGGGUUAACUUUUUUGCACAGCUGGAAGGAUGACCUGCUAAUUUCUGUAAACGUGGCCUAUUUAGAGUUGAAACGUGGCAUGAAUUAGAGUUGAAAUUGAUUGAAAUUAGCACUUAUGAGACUCAAUUCAUGCCACGUUUCAACUCUAAAUAGGCCACGUUUAUAGAAAUUAACAAGUCAUCCUCCCAGCUGUGCAAAAAAGUUAACGGCAAAGGCUUAAUUGAUUGAAAUUAGCACUAAUAGGGACUCAAUUGGGGAUUCGAAUAAGACGGGAUCAAAAUGGGAAAACCUCUCGAAAAUAGGGACAACUAAAUGGUUUAAACCUUUAAUAAAUAGUUACUUGGUUUGUUCCUUUUAAGAUUAACUUGUUAGGUAUCUAUUUCUUACUUUUUAAAUAAAUUUUUCUGUUAUAACUUAUAAGUAUCUUCAUUGACAUCACAAGUCAAUGAAAUGAAGGCAAUGAUGACCACUUUUGUUGCAAAAUCAUCAAGAGGCUCAUUGCCUUCACAGUUUGCAGUAUUUCAACGAUCAUCGUUAAUAAUUAUUAAAUUUAUUUGUAUGAUUUUUUAUUAAAUAUAUUAUCGACUAACUAUUAUGUUAUAUUGUAGGUAUUUGAUCAAAGGAGUGUGUCAAAUAAUGGAUGUAAUGAAGAGGAAGAAAAUUAGAUAUUGUUAUUAAAUAUCUUUGAGUCAAAGUAAAAGGUUUAUUUGAGAUGUUGG